AUUGAACGCUGGCGGCAGGCCUAACACAUGCAAGUCGAGCGGAGCGGCGGACGGGUGAGUAAUGCCUAGGUAUCUGCCUGGUCGUGGGGGAUAACGUCCGUAAACGGGCGCUAAUACCACAUCCUAUCAGAUGAGCCUCGGUCGGAUUAGCUAGUGGGUGGGGUAAAGGCUUACCAAGGCGACGAUCCGUAACUGGUCUGAGAGGAUGAUCAGCCACACUGGAACUGAGACACGGUCCAGACUCCUACGGGAGGCAGCAGUGGGGAAUAUUGGACAAUGGGCGAAAGCCUGAUGCAGCCAUGCCGCGUGUGUGAAGAAGGUCUUCGGAUUGUAAAGUACUUUCAGUCGGGAGGCGUUACCAACAGAAGAAGCACCGGCUAACUUCGUGCCAGCAGCCGCGGUAAUUC
rnacentral:rRNA from 1 species